UUAUAGUUUUAUUCUGACUAUAAAAUUAAUUUUUUCAUGAAAUUACAUGGGUUUUACUAAAUACUUUUUUUUCCAGUAAUUAAAAUUAUAAAAUAUUAUUUAAUGAAAUAAUCAAUGAAUUAAGGUAGAUAAAUAUUUGUGCCAGCAUUCGCGGUUAAACAAUUUACUUAAAUUAAUUUUUUUAGUUAAUAAUUAUAUUUAUACAAAGGUUUAGUUUAUUUUUAUUUAGGUGGAAUUUAUAAUUUCAAUUAAACUCUUAACUUAUUUUUUAUUAAAUUUUUAAAUUAAACUAGGAUUAGAUACCCUAUUAUAAAUUAAUGUAAAUUUAAACUUAAAUAGUAUUAGCUAUAUUCUUUAAAGCUUAAAGAAUUUGGCGGUAAAAUAUCUUUUUAGAGGAACCUGUAGAUUAAUUGAUAAACCACGAUAUUUUUUACUCUUUAAAGUUAUUUGUAUAUCGCUAUACUUAAGAAUGUUUUGAUAAAAUAUUUUCUUUAACUUAAAAGAUGUAUAUUAGGUCAAGGUGCAGUUUUUAAUGAAGUUUUUAUGGGUUACUUUUUUUUUAAUUUUGAGAAUAUUUUCCUAUUGAAGGUUUAUUGAAUAAGGAUUUGAUAGUAAAUUUAAUUAAUUAAUUAAUUUGAAUUUUGUUCUAUUUUAUGCACAUAUCGCCCGUCACUCCUGAUUUAAAUUAGGAUAAGUCGUAACAAAGUAACUCUACCGGAAGGUAGAGUUAGAAUGUAAA
rnacentral:ncRNA from 1 species